UAUUAAUGUGCUUGCAUAAGCAGCAAUAAAUGUACAACAUAUGUGACUGGUCUGAGUUGCAUCACACAGUUUGGAUUUGGAACUGAAGGACAAUUAUGGUCAAAAAUGGCAGUACAGAUCAAGUAAACAUAACCAGACAACAGAAGACAUAUUUCAAUUUACAUAUUAAGGAUAUUACUGUGAAAAAAAAGCAGGAACAACGCAUAUAUACCAAACUUCAAGACGAUAAAGGUAACUAAAUUUCCAAAGACAGAUGAAGAAA